UCAUUACGUCUUACCGUGCCCUCUUCACUGUCUUUCUGGAUUUUUCCUUGACCUUGUGGUUUUGUUUUCCUCCUAUUUUUAAAGGAUUUUUUCAGUAUGAAUGGACAUUGUUGUAUGAAAAAAAAAAUCCCCUGUACACGCCAAUGACCCAUUAAAACCGGUCAUAAACGCUCACCGCAGACUUCUAGCUGCAGUUCCGUGGAGCUGGAGCCUCUCUCGUUGUGGGCAUGGCAGCGGUAAGUUCCAGAGUCUGAUUGGUUGACGGCUGGGAUGAAGAGUGAGGUGGCGCGUUGAUAACCACGGGAACCAGGCAGCAUGUGUGAGGCGUUUGAUACAUUAGGAUGCUGCGGGGAAAAGAAGCAAAGUUGACAUCACAACAUCAACCAACCCAUAGAAUCCAAGCUCAAAAUCUUUCUGUGAGGUCACAUUUCCAUGUUAUCCAUUGUAAUAAAUAAUUGUCCUAAUUCACUUAUCUCUCCUGAUUGAACACUAAUAAAACCUCACAACAUA